CGCUCAGGGAUUUUCCAGCGGCGCUUUUGACGCUGCCUUCCAUCUCCGGGCCCAGUGCUCCCCUGCCCCGCGCUGAGCUGUCUCCCACUCGCUACCGGCGAUGGGGAAGGGACAUCUGGGGAGAGGACAGGGGACGCCCUUAGUUUUUGAAGGCUGUGGAAGGACCCAUGAGUUUCACAGGUGUAACUUGAAGUUGGAAAGCGAGGGCCAAAGAACUGGUCUAUAUCUCUCCCUUUAGCCUCUUGCCACAUUUUAUACUAGAACGAUCUACAGAAGCGAUUUGAAGAGAAGGGGUGUGCCCUCAGGAGGAUGGGAUAGAGAUAAAGUGUGAACUUACAAACCUGGCAGAGAGCAGGCACCUGGGAUGCAGUGGGCUGGUGGAAGAAAGAUGGCCUCAGUACUCCCAUCGAAGUAACAGUAUGUUCCAGGAUGCAGUUGGAAAUUAGGUUGGAAUGGAUGGGAUCUAACAGGAACAGCUCUUGGAAGGAUGGGCUAUCUCAUUAGUACCUUACAACUUCCAAUGCAUUGUCACAUAUUGGAGUUGGGACCAGGGUGAGGCAAAAGAGGCCUUUAAGAGUCAUGCAAGUACACUGGCCUCUGUCCUGCCACAUGCCUUAUCUCACGUAAUACCCAUCUGACCCUUGUCUGGCUAUUUAGUUGGUUUCGGGGUGGAGAGAGCAGGGGAGGUAAGGAGCAGAGAUGGGAGAGAGGACAAGCUGGCAGAGACUCUUUCUCUAUGAAAAGCCUUGCCUGAGUCACUCCUUCCCUCA
rnacentral:lncRNA from 1 species